AGAGUUUGAUCCUGGCUCAGGAUGAACGCUGGCGGCGUGCUUAACACAUGCAAGUCGAACGAAGCGCUUAAACGGAUUUCUUCGGAUUGAAGUUUUUGCGACUGAGUGGCGGACGGGUGAGUAACGCGUGGGUAACCUGCCUCAUACAGGGGGAUAACAGUUAGAAAUGACUGCUAAUACCGCAUAAGCGCACAGUACCGCAUGGUACGGUGUGAAAAACUCCGGUGGUAUGAGAUGGACCCGCGUCUGAUUAGGUAGUUGGUGGGGUAACGGCCUACCAAGCCGACGAUCAGUAGCCGACCUGAGAGGGUGACCGGCCACAUUGGGACUGAGACACGGCCCAAACUCCUACGGGAGGCAGCAGUGGGGAAUAUUGCACAAUGGGGGAAACCCUGAUGCAGCGACGCCGCGUGGAGGAAGAAGGUCUUCGGAUUGUAAACUCCUGUUGUUGAGGAAGAUAAUGACGGUACUCAACAAGGAAGUGACGGCUAACUACGUGCCAGCAGCCGCGGUAAAACGUAGGUCACAAGCGUUGUCCGGAAUUACUGGGUGUAAAGGGAGCGCAGGCGGGAGAACAAGUUGGAAGUGAAAUCCAUGGGCUCAACCCAUGAACUGCUUUCAAAACUGUUUUCCUUGAGUAGUGCAGAGGUAGGCGGAAUUCCCGGUGUAGCGGUGGAAUGCGUAGAUAUCGGGAGGAACACCAGUGGCGAAGGCGGCCUACUGGGCACCAACUGACGCUGAGGCUCGAAAGUGUGGGUAGCAAACAGGAUUAGAUACCCUGGUAGUCCACACCGUAAACGAUGAUUACUAGGUGUUGGAGGAUUGACCCCUUCAGUGCCGCAGUUAACACAAUAAGUAAUCCACCUGGGGAGUACGACCGCAAGGUUGAAACUCAAAGGAAUUGACGGGGGCCCGCACAAGCAGUGGAGUAUGUGGUUUAAUUCGACGCAACGCGAAGAACCUUACCAAGUCUUGACAUCCUGCGACGCACAUAGAAAUAUGUGUUUCCUUCGGGACGCAGAGACAGGUGGUGCAUGGUUGUCGUCAGCUCGUGUCGUGAGAUGUUGGGUUAAGUCCCGCAACGAGCGCAACCC
rnacentral:rRNA from 1 species